CGAUUUUGCAGAAAGUCGUCGCCGGAGAAGCGAAUCGGAGGAUGAUCUCUCUCUAGGAGCAUAAGGCGUCAUCCGUCCUAAACCUAGAGACAGUGAAGAAGUGGAGAGACGCACUUCACCAAGCGGCUAAUUUGUCCGGAUGGCAUUCUCUCAGCUAAGUGACUGGAUUCUCUUGAUUGCUGUUUGUUUUGUAGAGAAUUUCCGUUAGAUUAAAAUCAGAUUAUAACUCGCUAGAAAUGGUAAAGAUGAAACUUUGUUGCCUAACUUUAGCAGAUUGUUUGAGAAAUGGGAUUUCAAUUGAGUCUCCUUAGAAGAAGGAAGCAGAACUACGGGUUUGGAAUUGGAAUUCCAACUUUCAGAGUCUGAUUCUUCCGAUAUAUAAAGCGGAUGAAUUGAGGGACAUCAUUUCACCUUAUGCUCCUGAAAUUGCUAAGUCCCUUCGCAUGACAACAAAUCAAACUUGUGGAGGAACAAUGAGAACCCAAGAAGGUGCAGGAAUAGAAACCUUAAGGAUAUGGAGAACACACCUUGAAGAAAACCAGGCAUAAGUAGCAUUGCAUAAAGCCCAAGGGUUGACUUCUUUUUUUUCUUUUUUGAGUCUUGCAUCGUCUUGUUCCUUAUUUGGCUUUUGUUAAUAGAGAUGCUACAAUUAUCUGGAAUUCUUUGGUAUUGAUCUUUCGAAUUAGACCACAGAACUAGGAACAAGAAUUUGCUAAGACUUGCAUGUUGCGCUUGAAGAGGACAUUUGAUUUUGUGAAAUGUUUGAUAGCCAGAAUGCAUUAUCUUAGUUUCUCUGUGUUGUAAUGAUUUAUGGUUGGUCUCAAGCUGAUAUUCCCAUCUCCAAGUUAUAGGGUU